rnacentral:misc_RNA from 1 species
GGGAGAGCUUAAGGUGGAAACUGGGAAGUAUCAAUAGUCUGGAUUUUUGCAAUAUGGGGAAGUGCAACCAAAUGGAUAGCUUUAUUACACCUUCUUUAAGAUGAGAAAUUAUAAACUCCAUAGAGAUCUAUAUAUUUUCUGAUUGAGUUCCAAAUGGCCGGUUUGAGCUUGCAUUCUCUGGUGGCUUGUUUCUUUUGGUUAAGGGACACCAGGAAGCCAUUAAGGGGCAGCAUGGGUUGUGAGUAGCUCAACUAUUGAAUGUCCUUCACUUUAGUUAAUUUUUGAUAGGAUAAUUAGCACAGUUCUCAAAAUUUUGUUUAUUCCAUUUUUUUUAU